rnacentral:tRNA from 1 species
UGUAGCUCAGAGGUAGAGCUUUCACUUAGCAUGUGAAAGGCCCUGAGUUCCAUCCCCAGCA